rnacentral:rRNA from 1 species
AAUCAACGCUGGUGGCGUGCCUCAGACAUGCAAGUCGAACGCGAAAGUUCCCUUCGGGGAGCGAGUAGAGUGGCGCACGGGUGAGUAACACGUAGGUAAUUUGCCUUCGGGUGGGGAAGUAUCAAUCGGAAACGGUUGUUAAUACCGCAUAAUGCAGCGGCUCGACAUACGAGACAGUUGUUAAAGCGGGGGAUUGGAGCAAUCCGACCUCGCGCCUGAAGAGAAGCCNGCGGCAGAUUAGCUAGUUGGUAAGGUAAUGGCUUACCAAGGCGACGAUCUGUAACCGGCCUGAGGAGGGCGGGUCGGUCACACUGACACUGAAUAACGGGUCAGACUCCUACGGGAGGCAGCAGU